GAUGAACGCUGGCGGCGUGCCUAAUACAUGCAAGUCGAGCGAACAGACGAGGAGCUUGCUCCUCUGACGUUAGCGGCGGACGGGUGAGUAACACGUGGAUACCUACCUAUAAGACUGGGAUAACUUCGGGAAACCGGAGCUAAUACCGGAUAAUAUAUUGAACCGCAUGGUUCAAUAGUGAAAGACGGUUUUGCUGUCACUUAUAGCUGGAUCCGCGCCGCAUUAGCUAGUUGGUAAGGUAACGGCUUACCAAGGCGACGAUGCGUAGCCGACCUGAGAGGGUGAUCGGCCACACUGGAACUGAGACACGGUCCAGACUCCUACGGGAGGCAGCAGUAGGGAAUCUUCCGCAAUGGGCGAAAGCCUGACGGAGCAACGCCGCGUGAGUGAUGAAGGUCUUCGGAUCGUAAAACUCUGUUAUUAGGGAAGAACAAAUGUGUAAGUAACUAUGCACGUCUUGACGGUACCUAAUCAGAAAGCCACGGCUAACUACGUG
rnacentral:rRNA from 1 species